rnacentral:piRNA from 2 species
UGACUCUAGCUUGCGUCAAGUUGA